AUUGAACGCUGGCGGCAUGCCUAACACAUGCAAGUCGAGCGGAUGAAGGGAGUUUGCUUACGAAUUCAGUGGGCGACGGGCGGGUGAGUAAUAGGAAUAUGAUCUGCCUUUGGGGAUGAGGUCAGGAAAGGAGCGCUAAUCUAAUAUACGUUCAGAUGUUGAAAGUGGGGGAUCAUUGGAGCUAGCGCCAUUUGAUGAGCCUAGGUCGGAUUCGCUGGUUGGUGGGGUAAAGGCCUACGAAGGCGACGAUCCGGGCCUUGUCUGAGAGGCUGAUCGGCCACACUGGAACUGAGACACGGUCCAGACUCCUACGGGAGGCAGCAGUGGGGAAUAUUGGACAAUGGGCGAAAGCCGGAUCCAGCCAUGCCGCGUGGGUGAAGAAGGUCUUCGGUUUGUAAAGCACUUUGGGUGGGGAGGAAGUGCAGUAGGUUAAUACCUUGCUGUUUUGACGGUACCAACAGAAUAAGCAACGGCUAACUUCGUG
rnacentral:rRNA from 1 species